GAUGAACGCUAGCGGCAGGCUUAACACAUGCAAGUCGAGGGGUAGAGGAAGCUUGCUUCCUUGAGACCGGCGCACGGGUGCGUAACGCGUAUACAAUCUACCUCUUACAGAGGGAUAGCCCAGAGAAAUUUGGAUUAAUACCUCAUAGUAUCUUCUGAAGGCAUCUUCAGAUUAUUAAAGUUCCAACGGUAAAAGAUGAGUAUGCGUCCCAUUAGCUAGAUGGUAAGGUAACGGCUUACCAUGGCAAUGAUGGGUAGGGGUCCUGAGAGGGGCAUCCCCCACACAGGUACUGAGCGACGGACCAGGCUCCUGCGGGAGGCAGCAGUGAGGAAUAUUGGACAAUGGGCGCAAGCCUGAUCCAGCCAUGCCGCGUGCAGGAAGACGGUCCUAUGGAUUGUAAACUGCUUUUAUACAGGAAGAAACACUCCCUCGUGAGGGAACUUGACGGUACUGUAUGAAUAAGCAUCGGCUAACUCCGUGCCAGCCGCCGCCGUAA
rnacentral:rRNA from 1 species